CGUAGCCAUUUUGAAAAAAUCGAUGUGCAGGCGAACGCUUAAGAAAAAAAUCCAUUAUACCGCGUAACUGAAUCGAAUUAUCAUUUCAAUCGGUCCAUUUAAUUCUGGAACACAUCAAAUCUGUUGGUAAACAUAAAAGGACACGGAUUAGAAGACCCCGCUUGAAAUUUUUAUACAAACACCAAAAUCAUCAUCAAGUUAAAUGUUCCGCGGUUCAUCCUAAUCAGUCACAUAAAACGAAAGCUGAAAAAGCAUAUUCUUCUCACUAUCUAGAAGCGGUCCUCACUCAAUAAUCCGGUUUUUUUAUCAUUUCGGUGCGAAACGCGAGAUACGGUGACGACCGUUUUUUCACCAUCCGGAAGGAGUUGGAACCGACUGGACUACUCGAGAAACAACACCCGCCGGUCACCAAUAAAUUAUUCAACCCCCCGUAAACGAACAGCACUAGUGUUGCGACACAGGUAUUUUGGCCAUUUGCUGAAGCUACGGUUUAACAAAAUGCCACCCAGGCAUGGGAUCACCACUUCCGGAGUUGUUCGGCACCGACGUUAGGUGAUCGUGGGGGAAAAAUCACUU